GACGGGGCAGUGACAGGUGGGAAAGGUGGGAGAGACGGGGCAGUGACAGGUGUUACAGGUGGGAGAGACGGGGCAGUGACAGGUGUUACAGGUGGGAGAGACGGGGCAGUGACAGGUGGGAAAGGUGGGAGAGACGGGGCAGUGACAGGUGGGAAAGGUGGGAGAGACGGGGCAGUGACAGGUGUUACAGGUGGGAGAGACGGGGCAGUGACAGGUGUUACAGGUGGGAGAGACGGGGCAGUGACAGGUGUUACAGGUGGGAGAGACGGGGCAGUGACAGGUGGGAAAGGUGGGAGAGACGGGGCAGUGACAGGUGGGAAAGGUGGGAGAGACGGGGCAGUGACAGGUGGGAAAGGUGGGAGAGACGGGGCAGUGACAGGUGUUACAGGUGGGAGA